rnacentral:rRNA from 1 species
GCAAAAACCUAGCCCAACCAAAACAAAAAACUUAACAAACAAAACUAUCCCACCAAAACCAACCAAAACAUUUUCACCAUCCUAGUAUAGGCGAUAGAAAAGAC